UUAAUGAAUGAAUGUAGAGAAUGGUUGUAGCUGGCCUGCAAAGGCAUGUGCACGCCUUCUCUUUCAUCCACACACCCCUGUGCACUUGUGAGACGGAGGCUUGUACUUUUCAAUAAAGUGGGUCUCCGUCUGUCUUUACACAAACUCAUAUUAAUAUAAUUUGAAUGUCAUUGAUGUAAACGCAUCUAUAUAAUAAGUUUCAACGACGGAUCUCUUGGGUAUUGCAUAGAUGAAGAACGCAUCGAAACGUAAUAAGUAAUGUGAAUCGCCGAAUUCAGUGAAUCGUCUGCUCGUUCAACGCGCCUUGCGCUCCUCGGUAUUCCUAGGAGGUUGCAAGUUUGAAUAUCAAGAAAUUAUCAAAUUUAAUAAGGCGCUCACUCAACUGAGUUAGUUUUGGACUUGGGGGUCUGCGGACGUAAAACUCUGCUCCUCUCAAAUGUAUGAGCUGGAUUUCAGUGAGCGAGGUUCCACUCGGUGUGAUAAGUAUCUUAAGUUGAGGACCCCUUUUAACAAAGGGGGCCAGAAGACAAAUGAACCGGUUUUAACCAGCACUUGGUUGGACAAAUAAAUUCUAAGAUCUGAUCUCAAAUCAGGAAGGACUACCCGCUG
rnacentral:rRNA from 1 species